AGCGGAGGAAAAAGAAACCAACAGGGAUUGCCUCAGUAGCGGCGAGUGAAGCGGCAAGAGCUCAGAUUUGAAAUCGUGCUUUGCGGCACGAGUUGUAGAUUGCAGGUUGGAGUCUGUGUGGAAGGCGGUGUCCAAGUCCCUUGGAACAGGGCGCCCAGGAGGGUGAGAGCCCCGUGGGAUGCCGGCGGAAGCAGUGAGGCCCUUCUGACGAGUCGAGUUGUUUGGGAAUGCAGCUCCAAGCGGGUGGUAAAUUCCAUCUAAGGCUAAAUACUGGCGAGAGACCGAUAGCGAACAAGUACUGUGAAGGAAAGAUGAAAAGCACUUUGAAAAGAGAGUGAAACAGCACGUGAAAUUGUUGAAAGGGAAGGGUAUUGCGCCCGACAUGGGGAUUGCGCACCGCUGCCUCUCGUGGGCGGCGCUCUGGGCUUUCCCUGGGCCAGCAUCGGUUCUUGCUGCAGGAGAAGGGGUUCUGGAACGUGGCUCUUGGAGUUUAUACCAGGGCCAGAUGCUGCGUGCGGGGACCGAGGACUGCGGC
rnacentral:rRNA from 1 species